rnacentral:rRNA from 1 species
UACGUAGGGUGCAAGCGUUAAUCGGAAUUACUGGGCGUAAAGCGUGCGCAGGCGGUUAUGCAAGACAGAUGUGAAAUCCCCGGGCUCAACCUGGGAACUGCAUUUGUGACUGCAUAGCUAGAGUACGGUAGAGGGGGAUGGAAUUCCGCGUGUAGCAGUGAAAUGCGUAGAUAUGCGGAGGAACACCGAUAGCGAAGGCAAUCCCCUGGACCUGUACUGACGCUCAUGCACGAAAGCGUGGGGAGCAAACAGG